rnacentral:lncRNA from 1 species
UUUAAGUCUCUUUUAAAAAUAUUUUUUCAGUCCACAAAGUCUUUAAUUUAAGGUGAAUUCUUACUUAAGAAAUAGUUGAAAACUAGUAUUAAGUUAAUAGGUUAUGGUUGAUGACCCUCGUAAUAGGUUAUUUGAAAUAUUUGAUAAAUUAGUGGUUUUAAUAUAAAUGAAAAAUAAUAUAUUUUUUAGAAUAAGUGGAAAAAGGAAA